rnacentral:rRNA from 1 species
GUGCAGCAGUCGAGAAUUUUUCUCAAUGGGGGCAACCCUGAAGGAGCGACGCCGCGUGGAGGAUGAAGGUCUUCGGGUUGUAAACUCCUGUCAUUUGAGAACAAGGUGCACAUGUUAACUGCAUGUGCAUUGAUAGUAUCAGAAGAGGAAGGGACGGCUAACUCUGUGCCAGCAGCCGCGGUAAUACAGAGGUCCCAAGCGUUGUUCGGAUUCAUUGGGCGUAAAGGGUGUGUAGGUGGCGCCGUAAGUCGGGUGUGAAACCUCGGGGCUUAACUCCGAAACUGCAUUCGAUACUGCGGUGCUUGAGGACUGGAGAGGAGACUGGAAUUCAUGGUGUAGCAGUGAAAUGCGUAGAGAUCAUGAGGAAGACCAGUGGCGAAGGCGGGUCUCUGGACAGUUCUUGACACUGAGACACGAAGGCCAGGGGAGCAAACGGGAUUAGAUACCCCCGUAGU